UCCGACGGGAACUACCCACCAAACUGCCUAAGUUACCCACUUAUGUACCUUUUCGCCAUGUGUUGUCUUGUAGGCCUAUAUAUAGACCCAAGACACCCCCCUUACCUCUUUAGACUUGUUUUGAACUCAAACCUAACUUUGAGCUUAGUCUCCCUUGGGUAUCAUCCCUCUGUAAUCAAGGCACCUUGGUUGUUGAUUUGGAACUUGUUGAGUGAGAUUCUAGUACAAGAUACUCUCUCUCCCUCACCAAGCUCUUCUUCUCCAAUCCCAAUCUCUCCCCGGGGAAUUCUACCGCGUGUCUCUUCCUCGGAGAUUCUAUUGGCGUGGUCCAUCGAGCCACGGAGGUAAGCAUCGGGUGUAUCGGGUUGUGUGUGUGCGUGAGUCUCGGAGUUCCUCGUGUUCAUCGCCGUGUUCUUCGUGUUCCUCGCGUUUUCCCACCUUUCCCCUUGGUUUCGAAGUCAAUCCGCGAGAUCGGGCCACACACGGGGUCUUAGACCUCAUCAAUGAUGCUAUCUUCUUGGCCAUGUGGUCUGGACUUGCAAGGUUUAGGACAUUCAGUGCGAUAUUGUUACAAUUUUAGAACCUCGAUACAUCACAUCUCUCUCAUGAUAUCUACAACUGCGAAAAUAUUAGUUAAACUGGAUGGUGUUGGAUGUUGAUUGAGUACUAGAUAUAAUUCGCUGUGAUUCACUCCAUCAAUACUCUGCCCCAUAGUAUGUUGAGGCUACAUAUUCAUUUAAUAUCCUCACUUACACAAUUCGCUAAAAUCAAAUAAAGAAUUUCCAUCAUCCUGGAGUGCAUCAUUGAAUUGGAGCUUAUAUAAUGUAGCCUUUUCGGAUGAUUUUGAUUUUCCCAUGUUAGAUUUAAGAUUUAUGUUACCCGAUCACAAUUUGAUUAUUCGACCAUACUUUCAUUUUUUACUUAACUGACUGGUCAAUGUAUUUAUAUUUAUGAAUCAAAUUAGUUACUAAGAUGGAUACAUCCUUUAGGUGUCAUACCAUAGUUGAAAAGGUGUAUAUAUUCAGAAAACAAAUAAUAAAAACGGUACACGUACAGUACCAUGAUUUGUGGCAUAUAAAUAUCAAUUUUAGAAAGCAUUCAUGGAACAAAGAAGCAAAGGAUAUUAGUGCAGUAGAGCUGAUCAUGCUAUUUAAAAACCAAAUCGUGGCUCUUUUGGUCCAUGUAGUUGAUGAUGGGGGCUCCACUAUUCUGUAGUUGGUCUGUAUAGUCUGCUGAUUUGGCACACCAAAGGGAAAUGCUUUAAUAUUUAUUGUUUUUCCACAGUCUGAAUUUCUAGCCAGUACACCGACGCUGGUGAGGCUGGCUUCCCCAGUUGCUGCAAAAAGUAGGUUGAGUAAGGUCUCUGAUAUGUAUGUAAGUAUGCCUAUAGUUUUUGUGUGCUUCUAUGACCCUCAGAUAGUUAGGAAACUGUAAAAUUGUUUCUUAAAUUCCAGACUAUCUUUUAGAUGCAUUCUGAUAGCGAUUGAUAUUUCAUAUUUCAUACAAAAAGUGAUUGCUAUUUCAUAUUUAGGUUGCUGGAACUUCUCAUUCCCUAUAGUGGUUGCUAUUUCACAUGAACCCAAUGUCAUUAUGGAGUUGUUCCUGGUUGACUCUGGUAUCAAUUCUUUAUUAGUGGUAAAUUCUUGCAUACCGUUUCAAAAAUACAAGAAAACUCACCAAUUAUGUUUUACUAAUCUACAAAUAAACCCAAUGUGUUGGCAACCUGCAGGGAAAACAUUGCAAAUUAAAGAUUGUUGUUGCAGUGGUUAAUAACCCCCAUGAUUGGAGGUUCAGUGUGCAAGGAUUGCAGGAGAAGGACAUACCCCAAUGAGAACACCUACAGAUGCUCUCACUGCCCAUGUAUAGAAGGAAGACCAACAUAAUCUUAUAACAGAGAUCAUAUUAAUGGAGCUAUCUCUUUGUCUUUGUUUGAAACUGAUUAAUACCACUGCUGGCACACAUGCAUAGGCUAUCCGUUAACCUAACAGGUAUUGAGUCUAAUGAGGAAAACAAAAUGGUACAAAAAUUCAGUACCGACCACUACAUCGGCCAAGAAAAAGCGGUGGGCGUGAGUCGUGAGCCUGGUGUUGCUCGAAGUGUAGGAGUUCCAGGAGGACCUGCUUCGCUCUCGCGGCCACGUGCAUAGGAUGCGGGAGGUGCACCAGGUGGCCGGGAUUGUGAACGGGUGUGAGGGUCUUCAGAACUGGAGCAUGGACCUCAUCUCCUUGCUGCCGCAAUAACUAACCACAAUACCAGAAAGUAUGCUCGAAAUGUAUUAUUGUUCAUGAUAUUCCUGUUCAGUAUUUUAGCAAGUUCUUUUCCUCAUAUGUCGAAGCUACAUCCUUUUCUUGGUUUCCUAAAUACCUCUCUUCUUCCUCAGAAUAAGUUCACGGGUCUGAAUUUUUUCUAUGACAUUACUGGUCUUGAGAAAUGCUCUUAUAAGUUGCGACAA